rnacentral:rRNA from 1 species
GACGAACGCUGGCGGCGUGCCUAAUACAUGCAAGUAGAACGCUGAAGAGAGGAGCUUGCUCUUCUUGGAUGAGUUGCGAACGGGUGAGUAACGCGUAGGUAACCUGCCUUGUAGCGGGGGAUAACUAUUGGAAACGAUAGCUAAUACCGCAUAACAAUGGAUGACACAUGUCAUUUAUUUGAAAGGGGCAAUUGCUCCACUACAAGAUGGACCUGCGUUGUAUUAGCUAGUAGGUGAGGUAAUGGCUCACCUAGGCGACGAUACAUAGCCGACUUGAGAGGGUGAUCGGCCACACUGGGACUGAGACACGGCCCAGACUCCUACGGGAGGCAGCAGUAGGGAAUCUUCGGCAAUGGGGGCAACCCUGACCGAGCAACGCCGCGUGAGUGAAGAAGGUUUUCGGAUCGUAAAGCUCUGUUGUAAGUCAAGAACGGGUGUGAGAGUGGAAAGUUCACACUGUGACGGUAGCUUACCAGAAAGGGACGGCUAACUACGUG